UUAAGGUAAUUGAGGACACCA
rnacentral:miRNA from 1 species